GCUUAACACAUGCAAGUCGAGCGAGAAUCGUUUAUUGAAGGCUUCGGCUGGAAAUAGAUGAGGAAAGCGGCGAACGGGUGAGUAACGCGUGGGCAACCUGGCCUUAAGAAAAGGAUAGCCCCCGGAAACGGGGAGUAAUACUUUAUGAGAAUGAAAGAGGGCAUCCUACUUUCAUUCAAAGCGCAAGCGCUUAAGGAUGGGCCCGCGUAUCAUUAGCUAGUUGGUGAGAUAACAGCCCACCAAGGCAACGAUGAUUAGCCGGUCUGAGAGGGCGAACGGCCACAGUUGAACUGAGAGACGGGCCAAACUCCUACGGUAGGCAGCAGUGGGGAAUAUUGCGCAAUGGAGAAGAACUCUGACGCAGCAAUACCGCGUGAGCGAAGAAGGUCUUCGGAUCGUAAAGCUCUGUUAUCAGGGAAGAAGAAAAUGACGGUACCUGAUGAGCAAGUCCCGGCUAACUACGUGCCAGCCGCCGCGGUAA
rnacentral:rRNA from 1 species